rnacentral:rRNA from 1 species
UACGUAGGCAGCAAGCGUUGUUCGGAGUUACUGGGCGUAAAGGGUGUGUAGGCGGUCUUCUAAGUUUGGUGUGAAAUCUCCCGGCUCAACUGGGAGGGUGCGCCGAAAACUGGGAGGCUAGAGUACUGGAUGGGAGAGUGGAAUUCCUGGUGUAGCGGUGAAAUGCGUAGAUAUCAGGAGGAACACCUGCGGUGUAGACGGCUUACUGGACCAUAACUGACGCUGAGGCACGAAAGCGUGGGUAGCAAACAGG